rnacentral:rRNA from 1 species
AGUGGGGAAUAUUGGACAAUGGGCGGAAGCCUGAUCCAGCAACGCCGCGUGAGGGAUGACGGCCUUCGGGUUGUAAACCUCUUUCAGCACAGACGAAGCGAAAGUGACGGUAUGUGCAGAAGAAGCACCGGCCAACUACGUGCCAGCAGCCGCGGUAAUACGUAGGGUGCGAGCGUUGUCCGGAAUUAUUGGGCGUAAAGGGCUCGUAGGCGGUUUGUCGCGUCGGGAGUGAAAGCCAGAGGCUUAACUUCUGGCUGGCUUUCGAUACGGGCAGACUAGAGGUAUGCAGGGGAGAA